rnacentral:rRNA from 1 species
AUUGAACGCUGGCGGCAGGCCUAACACAUGCAAGUCGAACGGUAACAGGAAACAGCUUGCUGUUUCGCUGACGAGUGGCGGACGGGUGAGUAAUGUCUGGGAAACUGCCUGAUGGAGGGGGAUAACUACUGGAAACGGUAUCUAAUACCGCAUAACGUCGCAAGACCAAAGAGGGGGACCUUCGGGCCUCUUGCCAUCGGAUGUGCCCAGAUGGGAUUAGCUAGUAGGUGGGGUAACGGCUCACCUAGGCGACGAUCCCUAGCUGGUCUGAGAGGAUGACCAGCCACACUGGAACUGAGACACGGUCCAGACUCCUACGGGAGGCAGCAGUGGGGAAUAUUGCACAAUGGGCGCAAGCCUGAUGCAGCCAUGCCGCGUGUAUGAAGAAGGCCUUCGGGUUGUAAAGUACUUUCAGCGGGGAUGAAGGGAGUAAAGUUAAUACCUUUGCUCAUUGACGUUACCCGCAGAAGAAGCACCGGCUAACUCCGUG